rnacentral:tRNA from 1 species
GCCUCUAUAGCUCAGUGGUAGUAGCGCUGCACUUGUAAUGCAGAGGUCGAGUGUUCAAUCCACUCUGGAGGCA